rnacentral:rRNA from 1 species
AGCGGAGCGAGGGUGCUUGCACCUUAGCUUAGCGGCGGACGGGUGAGUAAUGCUUAGGAAUCUGCCUAUUAGUGGGGGACAACGUUUCGAAAGGAACGCUAAUACCGCAUACGUCCUACGGGAGAAAGCAGGGGAUCUUCGGACCUUGCGCUAAUAGAUGAGCCUAAGUCGGAUUAGCUAGUUGGUGGGGUAAAGGCCUACCAAGGCGACGAUCUGUAGCGGGUCUGAGAGGAUGAUCCGCCACACUGGGACUGAGACACGGCCCAGACUCCUACGGGAGGCAGCAGUGGGGAAUAUUGGACAAUGGGGGGAACCCUGAUCCAGCCAUGCCGCGUGUGUGAAGAAGGCCUUUUGGUUGUAAAGCACUUUAAGCGAGGAGGAGGCUUACCUGGUUAAUACCUGGGAUAAGUGGACGUUACUCGCAGAAUAAGCACCGGCUAACUCUGUGCCAGCAGCCGCGGUAAUACAGAGGGUGCGAGCGUUAAUCGGAUUUACUGGGCGUAAAGCGUGCGUAGGCGGCUUUUUAAGUCGGAUGUGAAAUCCCCGAGCUUAACUUGGGAAUUGCAUUCGAUACUGGGAAGCUAGAGUAUGGGAGAGGAUGGUAGAAUUCCAGGUGUAGCGGUGAAAUGCGUAGAGAUCUGGAGGAAUACCGAUGGCGAAGGCAGCCAUCUGGCCUAAUACUGACGCUGAGGUACGAAAGCAUGGGGAGCAAACAGGAUU